AAGACUGUGCUUUCAGUGAUCAUCUCUAUAGUUCAUUCCUAGAGAAGUUCUCAGAUGUGUAGAGCACCCAAAACCACGGGGAGUAGCCAGAGCAUCCUCUCCUGAGCAUAAAGUCAGUUCCAGGAGUUGCUUUCACAAACGCCUUUCACAAGAUGGUUCUCCUCUUCCCUGGGAAGAGGGAGAGGGAGAGGAUGCAGGCUGAGUGGC